CGCCUGUUUAACAAAAACAUUUCUUAUAGAUUAUAAUUAUAAGUAAAACCUGCUCAAUGAAUUUUAAAUAGCCGCAGAAUAUUUACUGUGCUAAGGUAGCAUAAUCAUUUGUUUUUUAAUUAAAAACUAGAAUGAAAGGUUUAACAUUUUAAUUUCUUUCUUAAAAAUUUAUAUUUAAAUUAUAUUAAAUAUAAAAAUAUAUUUAUUUUUAAAAAAGACGACAAGACCCUAUUGAACUUUACUUUUGUUAAGCUGGGGCAGCUAAUUAAUUAUAAUUUUAAUUUUAAUAUUCAAAAAAUGAUCCAAUAAAUUUGAUUACUUGAUUAAGUUACCAUAGGGAUAACAGCGUAAUUUUUUUUUUAAGUUCUUAUUUAAAAUAAAGUUUGCGACCUCGAUGUUGAAUUAAUAUUCUAUGUUACGCAAUAGUAACAAAUAGUAGGUCUGUUCGACCUUUAAUAUAUUACAUGAUCUGAGUUCAAACCGGAG
rnacentral:rRNA from 1 species